AUAACACACCAGCCUACAGCACAUUGACAUCCCUGCGUUAACAGUAAGAGUCAGCAGAAACCCUGUGUAUAAUUAAAUGGUUACAGCUACUGUUGAUGUAAAACUCUCAGCCUCGGAGUAAUCCAGAGGAUUAAAGAUAUAACAAUGGGGGGUGUUCACCUGUUAUACACGGCCUCGAUGUUACUUGGUAUUGUUCAGCUCGUUGCUAGCCAACAAUCCAACGUGGGCUCGUGCCUAUUUUUUCAUGUAGAACGAUGUUCUGUGAUGAAUUACAAUACGACUUUCAAGCCGAACAGACUGGGACACUUAUAUAUCGAGGAUGCUGAGAUGCAAUUCAACACCUUCCAGCCACUGAUAACGGUCGAAUGUAGCCCUGCACUUUUACCUUUAUUGUGUACGACGUUUUUCCCGAAAUGCACCGCAAACGGAGACAGGGUGGAACCGUGCGCCCGGCUCUGCAGACAGGCACGUGAUGGUUGUAUGCCACUUCUGAAAAAUUUCGGAUUUCCAUGGCCAAGUUCUCUAGAUUGCAGUACAUACCCAGACGACCAUGAGUGCUUCGAUAUUGAAUCAAUCCAACUGCAAGUUGUGUAACCUAAUUCCGCUACCUUGUAUUGUUAUUCAAAUACCCAUGACAUUUACUUUCUAGAGCAAGCAAUAGGCUGUGUCAGUAAAAAUAAUUUGAUUGGCCUUGAACAACGAAAAAAUAAACAAAUGCAUUUCGCAAGCAAUUCUU